rnacentral:lncRNA from 1 species
GGGCAAGGUAAGUUCAUAAUUUCUUAAGUACAUACAUUUAAGAUAAAGACAUAAAAGAUUUUAUUUGCAAGACAUAAACAUAUCGAGGCUUGGUUUUUUUUGUCUGAAACAAAUUGACACUUUUAUAUAGAAUCAACUUGAUUGUAUAUGUGUGCAUGUGUGUGUUUUGAAAGAAAGUUUGAUAGCAUUGUUUUAUGCUUACCUCAACAAUC